AUUGAACGCUGGCGGCAGGCUUAACACAUGCAAGUCGAGCGGAGAUGAGGUGCUUGCACCUUAUCUUAGCGGCGGACGGGUGAGUAAUGCUUAGGAAUCUGCCUAUUAGUGGGGGACAACAUUCCGAAAGGAAUGCUAAUACCGCAUACGUCCUACGGGAGAAAGCAGGGGAUCUUCGGACCUUGCGCUAAUAGAUGAGCCUAAGUCGGAUUAGCUAGUUGGUGGGGUAAAGGCCUACCAAGGCGACGAUCUGUAGCGGGACUGAGAGGAUGAGGCGCUGCAAGGGGAAUGAGACACGGGCCAGACUCCUACGAGAGGCAGCAGUGGGGAAUGUUGGACGAUGGGAGGAACCCUGAUCCAGCCAUGCCGCGUGUGUGAAGAUGGCCAUAUGGUUGUAAAGCUCUUUAAGCGAGGAGGAGGCUACUGAGAGUAAUACUCUUGGAUAGUGUACGUUACUCGCAGAAUAAGCACCCGCUAACUCUGUGCCAGCAGCUGCCGUAA
rnacentral:rRNA from 1 species